GAUGAAGAACGCAGCGAAAUGCGAUAAUUAAUGUGAAUUGCAGAAUUCCGUGAAUCAUCGAAUCUUUGAACGCACAUUGCGCCCGCGAGUAUUCUCGCGGGCAUGCCUGUCCGAGCGUCAUUUCAACCCUCAGGGCCCGCCUGCUUCGGCAGGCGCGGCGCUGGUGUUGGGGAUCGGCCUAACCGCCGUCCCCCAAAUACAGUGGCGGUCUCGCUGCAGCCUCCCCUGCGUAGUAGCAACACUCGCAUGCGGAGCGCGGCGCGGCCACGCCGUAAAACCCCCGACUUUCUGAACGUUGACCUCGGAUCAGGUAGGAAUACCCGCUGAACUUAAGCAUAUCAAUAAGCGGAGGA
rnacentral:misc_RNA from 1 species